rnacentral:rRNA from 1 species
AGUGAACGCUGGCGGUAGGCCUAACACAUGCAAGUCGAACGGCAGCACAGUAAGCGCUUGCUCUUGCGGGUGGCGAGUGGCGGACGGGUGAGGAAUACAUCGGAAUCUACUUUUUCGUGGGGGAUAACGUAGGGAAACUUACGCUAAUACCGCAUACGACCUACGGGUGAAAGCAGGGGAUCUUCGGACCUUGCGCGUUUGAAUGAGCCGAUGUCGGAUUAGCUAGUUGGCGGGGUAAAGGCCCACCAAGGCGACGAUCCGUAGCUGGUCUGAGAGGAUGAUCAGCCACACUGGAACUGAGACACGGUCCAGACUCCUACGGGAGGCAGCAGUGGGGAAUAUUGGACAAUGGGCGCAAGCCUGAUCCAGCCAUACCGCGUGGGUGAAGAAGGCCUUCGGGUUGUAAAGCCCUUUUGUUGGGAAAGAAAAGCAGCAGGUUAAUACCCCGCUGUUCUGACGGUACCCAAAGAAUAAGCACCGGCUAACUUCGUG